UACGGGGGGGGCAAGCGUUGUUCGGAAUUACUGGGCGUAAAGGGCUCGUAGGCGGCCAACUAAGUCAGACGUGAAAUCCCUAGGCUCAACCUAGGAACUGCGUCUGAUACUGGAUGGCUUGAAUCCGGGAGAGGGAUGCAGAAUUCCAGGUGUAGCGGUGAAAUGCGUAGAUAUCUGGAGGAACACCGGUGGCGAAGGCGGCAUCCUGGACCAAUAUUGACGCUGAGGAGCGAAAGCUAGGGGAGCAAACGGG
rnacentral:rRNA from 1 species